rnacentral:rRNA from 1 species
UACAGAGGGGGCAAGCGUUGUUCGGAAUUACUGGGCGUAAAGGGCGCGUAGGCGGCCUGUUAAGUCGAACGUGAAAUCCCCGGGCUCAACCCGGGAACUGCGUCCGAUACUGGCAGGCUUGAAUUCGGGAGAGGGAUGCGGAAUUCCAGGUGUAGCGGUGAAAUGCGUAGAUAUCUGGAGGAACACCGGUGGCGAAGGCGGCAUCCUGGACCGACAUUGACGCUGAGGCGCGAAAGCCAGGGGAGCAAACGGG